UACGGGGGGGGCAAGCGUUGUUCGGAAUUACUGGGCGUAAAGAGCUCGUAGGUGGUUUGUCGCGUUGUCCGUGAAAACUCACAGCUUAACUGUGGGCGUGCGGGCGAUACGGGCAGACUGGAGUACUGCAGGGGAGACUGGAAUUCCUGGUGUAGCGGUGGAAUGCGCAGAUAUCAGGAGGAACACCGGUGGCGAAGGCGGGUCUCUGGGCAGUAACUGACGCUGAGGAGCGAAAGCGUGGGGAGCGAACAGG
rnacentral:rRNA from 1 species